ensembl:lncRNA
AUCUUUCUUAAUUGGAGUUGUAAUUAUAACAUAAUGAGUUCCAUUUUACCUGUCACUGUGUUUCAUGUACCUGAUAAAUUAGCUCUAAGGGCAAUUUCAAAAAAGAAGAAUUUUGGGGGAAUAAGUGUUUUCAUCAGUAUUAUUUUAAAGGAAAUGAUAUUAAUUUAGAAUUGAUAUGUAUUUAAUCUCUGUAAUUUUUUUAUAAACUCUAGUGUAUUCUACGUACAUUCUUUUAAGGAUUUAUGUUGUGUAUGUGCUUAUUUUGGUAUAUUUCUCCUUUCUGUUUCCUUGUUUCUCCCACAGGUAUCCUUGCCUCAGUAUUGUAUCUUAGAAGGGAAACAUUUUUACAGGCUCAUGUCUGGACAGUUUGCCUUGAGUCUCAGAUAACUUUUGGGCGGUAUUGGAAUGAGUUAAGAUGUUGGGACAAAUGAGGAUGGAAAGAUUUAUGUUUAUUUUUGUUCAUGUGUGGAAACUUGGUUCUCAGCAUGGCAAUGUUAAGAGGUGGGUGUGACUUUAAAAAGUGAACCCUGGUGGAAUAUGAGAUCAUUUAAGGCACUGACCUGGGAAGGAAUUAGGGUAGUUCUCUUGUGACCUUCAUUAGUUCCUACAAGAAAUGGUCAUUGUAAAACAACAAAAUAACCCUCUAUGCCACCCUAUGCGUUCUUGUCUCACCAUGUGAUUUGUUCUUCUUAUACAUACUCUCACCAUGAUGCCAUCCAUCCACCAUAGUGUGAUGUAGCUGAGGAGAGGAUUGCCAGAAGCAAAUGUAGGUUCUAUGCUCUUGAUUUUCCAAAACUGAGCUAAAUAGACCUCUUUUCUAUAUACGUUACUAGCUGCAGAAGUUUUUAUAAUAGCAAUGGAAAAACAAACUAAUACACAUGGAAGAACUAAAUUUCUUUCUGAAGCCAAGUAACAGAAGUGAGCUCUGAGGAGUGAAGAAAAUUGUGAUAUUCACAACUUACAGUGAAACAAUAGCCUCAGGACAAAUAGGAGCCACAAACAGUAAGAGGCUGGAGGUGGCUUAGAUGGACCCUGAAUGUGGUUCUAUAUUCUUUUGGUCUCAGAGAAGAGUGACUCUGAGAGCCUGGGAGGUGUCCAAUUCUUUUAAAAGUUGAAUAAGGCACAUAGUCACAGUCAGAAUGUAUUGAAUUAUAUUUGAGGAAAAAACAGAGAUCCUAUUGUUUUUGUUAUAUAAGUACCAGAGAAGACUUCUUUUAGCAUCCAAUCCUUCCUUUAUGGUGGAAUUUCUUUGUGAACUCAUUUCCAAGUCAAAUAAAUAAUAAUUCAAAGUAUAACUCAUUGACUUCAAGUGGACACUUUGCAAUUUGUCUAGGUUUAAGGAAAGUGUGCAAAAGCCACUUAAUAUAUGUAUUAACCAAUGCUCACUAAAUAAAGAUUUACAAAAUAAGCUUACAAUGGCUUCCUGGUCAGUUGUAGAAGAGUACAAAAGGGCUAUCUUCAUGCUGGAGAUCCAAAAGAUCCAGUCAAAAGUCAAAGGCCUGGAGCUCACUAUAGAGUCCUGUGUGGGUCUGUAUUAGGAGGCCAGUAAAGGCCCUGUGCUAGAAGCCAGGAGAUGAACAUCCAAGGUGAAGAUAAAGACUUGAGUUUGUCUGCAAGAAACAGAAGCAGGCCUUCCUUUUUCUUUCCCUUUUUUAUUCCAUUGAGGCUACAAGCCUACUGGCUGGUGCCACUCACACCCAGGAUGCAUCUUCCCUCUUUAAUAAAUCCAUUUAGUCAAAUUCAGAAUUAUGCUAAGCCAAUCAGUUGGACGUUUCUUUCUCUUUUUUUUCCUUUUUUUUUUUUUUUUUUUAGUUUAAAUGCACUUUAUUUUUAGACAACCUACAUGACAUGUUUUUUUUUUCUCUAAAAAACAAUGUCUCCACUCCAAAUAAAUCAUGGUCAAAAUAAACGAAGCGUUCAAGAUGACAUCAGUCCCAUUUGUCUAAAAUCCCGGUGUUGUGUAGAUGACAAGUAGCAGCCAGUUAUGACAAGUAAUAGAUCCAAGGUAACCGCCAAAUCCGUUAACAGUUUUUCCAUUUCUAAACCAUCCUUAAAGAAAAUCAUACAUGGGGGUCACACUAUCCUCACGGGAAUCCAGGAGAGCAACCAUGCCAUCUGGAUUCAUAAAGAACUGAUAGUUUUUGAAAUUAGCAAGGAUGUGCUUGAUUUGUUCUGCAGCCCGUCAUAAAAGGCUUUACUUUUUCUGGUCUUUGUUCUUCAAGUUUGCCUUUGAUUGAUUUCAUAUAAUUUUUGAUGCACUCCUUGUAG